rnacentral:misc_RNA from 1 species
AACGGUCUAUACCUGCGGUACCUGCGGAAGGAUCAUUACCAAACAAAAAAGCUCAGGUCUGGGUAACCAGCCGGAGUGCAAACCCUCUGUGAAACAGAAAAUACCUUUCGCUUCCGUGGUAGGUUGGGCUCCCUUAACCGGUUGCCCAGCUGUAAUCCCACGGGCAGCAAAGCAAAACUAGAAUUUACCAAACCUGAUCUGAACAAUCGUUAAGAACGAAUGAAAAUUAAAACUUUCAAC